rnacentral:lncRNA from 1 species
UAGAUUCCCAAUCUGAUUCCUAGAUCUGCCACUACUGUGGUUGCUCCCUUGAUGUAUCUUACCCAGUGAAAGUUUUUACAAUUGGAGCUGAAUCGGAGAAAGGUAAGGGAGGAUAUGGAGAUCUCUCUUCCUGGGCUUCGAUUGUAGGUAAGCAAAAUUCCGAUUUACCUUAUUUCGAUGUCCUGGAUUCUGAUUUUGUUGAUGGAAUAUACAUCACCAUGUUAUGGUGUUAAGAGAAUAGUCUACUGGUAUACAACCUUUGGAUUUGGAGGUAAAAACGGGUCUUACUUGGCUUGUUUUGAAGGGUGUACCUCCUCAUAUGAUUACUAAGAAUGGUAUUAGCUGGCUUGUUAGUCGUUUCAGGUGUCCCAUCAAUAAGUUUGUUCGUGAGGGAUUGACUGUUUAGAUUUUCAUUUUGAUGAGCAAGGAUUACGAUGUCCAGAUGUUAAUCCUCUGAGAAUUGAUGGAGCAGUUGUUUGAAUUCUUGCGGAAUCUCCACAUGCAAGGUUGUAUCAAAAGAGUGUAAAGGUUAGUAAGCCGUUUUGGAUAGAGAAAAAGCUCAGCUGACGCUUGUUGUGAACACUGGUAUAUCGACAUGUAAUGAUUUCAAGCCUCACUUUUGAAGGGAGGCAUCACCUGAGGUUGCUAGUGACUCUCAUGAUGGAGGGGGAGUGGAACAAACCACUUAAGACUUUGUAACAAGUGGAGGUGAGUUCUCCCAGUCAACAUGCAGAGUUGGCUGAGACCUCUAUAGAGGUGGAGCCUAACUCCCUGAUCCUAAAAGUGUGGUUUUAGUAGAGUGAUAUAAAUAAGGGGUUGGUAACUCUAGUGGCUUGUGAAAUUGGGGAUAAAGAUGUUGAACAAUAUGAGGGGACCGAGCAGUCUGAGGAUUCUGAAAUUGUUUAUUGUUGAAUCUGAGAAGCGUCCUGUUAAACUAACAUUGGGAGAUUAUAUGAAGAUUGUGCCUGCUGCUAAUAGAGGUCAUUGGGGUCGCAGGGGAAAGAAGAAGUAAAUGAAGGUCUUACUUUAGAAUCAAAGCAUGCUUAGUUGUGAUUGGCUGGGAUUUUGGCCUCCAUUACUUCUAAGUAAGUUCAUGUUUCUUCACUUCAUGCACUCUAGGUUUAGGUAUGUCAAUAGGAAUAGUAAUAAAUUGACCUUCAAGGUUGAUGACAAUAUUCUCUGGGCAUACGUUAUCCUUUCCCUUAAGCACACAUACCUUGACAUUGAAACCUUCACGAAUAUACUUGUUGAUUGGAGUUUUGAUACUAUUUACUAAC